UACGUAGGGGGCAAGCGUUGUCCGGAUUUAUUGGGCGUAAAGAGCGUGUAGGCGGCCGCACAGGUCCGUUGUGAAAACUGGAGGCUUAACCUCCAGACGUCGAUGGAAACCGUGCGGCUAGAGUCCGGAAGAGGAGAAUGGAAUUCCUGGUGUAGCGGUGAAAUGCGCAGAUAUCAGGAAGAACACCCGUGGCUAAGGCGGUUCUCUAGUACGGUACUGACGCUGAGACGCGAAAGCGUGGGGACCAAACAGG
rnacentral:rRNA from 1 species